rnacentral:rRNA from 1 species
UAGUACUCACCUUGUGUGCAAUGUUGUGUAUAGUAAUAUACACCUACACCAACCUAUAACCUUGAACCACUUUGUCUGAAAAACUAUUAUGAAUACUUAAUUCAAAAUACAACUUUCAACAACGGAUCUCUUGGCUCUCGCAUCGAUGAAGAACGCAGCGAAAUGCGAUACGUAAUGUGAAUUGCAGAAUUCAGUGAAUCAUCGAAUCUUUGAACGCACAUUGCACUCUCUGGUAUUCCGGAGAGUAUGCUUGUUUGAGUAUCAGUAAACACCUCAAAUCUCGACAUUCGUGUUGAGAAUUGGACUUGAGCGAUCCCAACUCUUUGCAAAAAGGGGCGGGUUGCUUGAAAUGCAGGUGCAGCUGGACAUUCUUCUGAGCUAAAAGCAUAUUUAUUUAGUCCCGUCAAACGGAUUAUUACUUUUUGCUCUAGCUAACAUAAAGGUUGAUUGUUCUCUAUGCUGACUGAUGCAGGAUUACCAAGUUUUACUAGCUAAAACUUGUAAACUCGAUCUCAAAUCAAGUAAGACUACCCGCUGAACUUAAGCAUAUCAAUA